rnacentral:rRNA from 1 species
UACGGAGGGGGCUAGCGUUGUUCGGAAUCACUGGGCGUAAAGCGCAUGUAGGCGGGUCGUUAAGUUGGGGGUGAAAUCCCGAGGCUCAACCUCGGAACUGCCUUCAAAACUGGCGACCUGGAGCAAGAUAGAGGCAAGUGGAAUUGCGAGUGUAGAGGUGAAAUUCGUAGAUAUUCGCAGGAACACCAGUGGCGAAGGCGACUUGCUGGAUCUUUGCUGACGCUGAGAUGCGAAAGCGUGGGGAGCAAACAGG